AUUGAUUGCCUGUAUCCUUGCGGAAAUAACGCAACAUGUAAUAAUGCAGAAGGAUCAUUUAACUGUUUCUGUAAACAAGGUUUCGAAGGGGAUGGAUUCAAUUGUUCAGGUAAGAUUGUGCUAGCCCUACCUAAAGUUUCAAUCCAAUUAACCUUCCUGAAUUAAAAACUCACAUCAUUUAGAUUAGUUUCUAUGUAGACUCACCCUUCCCUGUCUUACUGACUUCUCGGUUUAUUGUAAAUAAUUUAAAAGAUCUUCAGAAAUGUUUCACCGAUUUCUCAGUUUAAUUAAAUUAUUAAUUAACGAUAAAUUAACAAUAAUGUGCUCCUGAUUUAUUCAACGACACUAAUGAUUGUAGACGUCAUUGAUUGUCUAUAAUAUCAAUGCGGAAAUAACAAAACAUGUAAUAAAAAAGCAUCAUUAACUGUUCAGGUAAUUAGAUUGUGCUAGCCCUUUUUAAAGUUGCAUUCCAAUCAGUCUUCCUAAAUUAUUAAAAAAAAUACAUCAAAUAGGUUAGUUUCCUUGCCUUCCCCAUUUAAGAGAUACGUGCUUUGGGUAAUUUUGAUAUUAGGAAAUCAGAUCGCCCUAAUUUACAAAAAUAGCGCCAUAAAAUCAUCUGAAAUGUCUUACCGACUUCUCAGUUUAAUUCAAUUAAUUUUAAAAUCUUCAGAAAUGUUAUAAAAUCUUAUAAUAUCUACAGAAAUAUUUUAACAAUUCUCAGUUGAAGUUAUUUAUUUAAUUUAAUUAAUUUAAUUAACGACCUAUUAAAAAUAAUGUGCUCCUGAUUUAUUAACCGAUAUUAAUGAUUGCAGACGUCAAUGAAUGCCUGUCAAAUCCAUGCGGAAAUAACGCAACAUGUAAUAAUACACAGGGAUCAUUUAACUGUUCCUGUGACCAAGGUUUCGAAGGGGAUGGAUUGAAUUGUUCAGG